rfam:Clostridium sp. CAG:58 genomic scaffold, scf261
GUUAUCUGAGGUGGUAAAUUUCGUUGCAACCACGCACCCUAGCGGUCAAAAGAGAUGCAGGAGAGGCGACGCCUGCCGGAUAAC